UACAGAGGGUGCGAGCGUUAAUCGGAAUUACUGGGCGUAAAGCGUGCGUAGACGGUUAUUUAAGUCGGGUGUGAAAGCCCCGGGCUCAACCUGGGAAUUGCAUUCGAGACUGAAUAGCUAGGGUACGGUAGAGGGAAGUAGAAUUUCCGGUGUAGCGGUGAAAUGCGUAGAUAUCGGAAGGAACAUCAGUGGCGAAAGCGACUUCCUGGACCAGUACCGACGUUCAGGCACGAAAGCGUGGGGAGCAAACAGG
rnacentral:rRNA from 1 species